rnacentral:lncRNA from 1 species
AAAAAAUCCACUUAUUUUUGGCUUUUGCAAAAUCGGGCCAUCUUUUUGGCUUUUGCAGAUUCGGUCCGCUUUUUCAGCAAACUGACCAAAAUACCCUUAUAUCUUUUUCUCUUUCCUCUUUCUCUCUCCUCUUUUUUUCUCUCGUUCUUUUUUCUUUUUCUUCCCAGAGAGCGGCGAAGACGGAGCGGAGGUGCCCUUAUACCUUUUUCUUUUCUCUUUUUUCUCUCGUUCUUUUUUUUCUUUCUCUUCCCAGAGAGCGGCGAAGACAGAGCGACGUCGCCGCCGGCGCCCCCACCUUCCUCGCCUCCGAUCCCC